AGUGUACUUAAAAGUUUAUAAUACCCAUGAAACAAUUUUAUUGCCCUGUGAAGAACUAAAAAUAUAUAGUGGCAAACCAUUACUCCCUAUGUGCAAAAGACAUAUGAGGCAUGCAGGACCAACCACACAUGCAAGAGCAUGUGCUACAGGUGAUGAUGAUGACAGUGAUUAUGAGGAAACUUUUAGUGGGAUGCAGACGUCCCAUUCGGGACGCUGGUCUGGUGCCCAUAGUGGCCGUAUGUCUUAUUCUUCUUUGUAGGAUUCACAGCCCCGUGCUCAACGCAUUGACAUGGACAUGCUGACCCAACAAAUUGGUGUGCUGCGCAUUGGACAUGAGGCCAUGCAAAACACUGGAACUCAAACCCAGCAAGCCCUCCUAGAUCUCCAAGUCCAACAAAAUAUAGGCUAGAAUAGGAUGUAUGCACACCAUCAGAGGCCACUACCACCAAAUAUUCCAUUCAUUCCUAUGCCACCACAGCGGCAGCAAGACCCAUCUCCACAGUAUCCUCCACCAUAUCCUCAGCAACCCUCAUAUCCUCCACCAUAUCCUCAGCAGCCCUCAUAUCCUCCACCAUAUCCAUAUAACUAUCCACCAUAUCAGUGAGGAGGCAUGAGAAGAGACAAGCUUGGGGGAGAUCCUCUCCCCCACCAAGGUAAGCAUUCUGGCUCUUUUAAAUUUAUUGCAAUUUCAGUUGUUCUAUGCUUCAUGUAAAAAAAUAAAUAAAUAAAAUUUGCCAUGCAUGCCAUCUUUCUCUUGGAGAUGAUGAAUAGUUGCUCUGUUAAUAUUUCUCUAGUAUCUAGCACUCAACUUAGUAUUUUUCUAAGUAUGGAUCACUUGGCUCACAUAAGACAACCAUGAACCUGAUUUCUUUCUGUGGGUUGCAAGUGCUAAAACUACGUCUAAGUUGUUGUGAGAUAUGAGAUAGUUGAGAUAGUAAGACAAGAGCUGCUAUAUUUUUAUUCUAAGCUUGCAUGAUUAUCGGAGAAUUUAUUUUAAAAAAAAACAAAAAAAGCUCUUCCCUAUACUGGGAGAAAGCAGCAAAAUUUUUGCUAGGAAAAUACUCCAUCCAUUUUUUCAAAUUGAUCUUUCUCUCAGUAUCCUCUUUAGACAGACAUGGCCAAAAAAAGGGAUGCACCCUUGUCAAAAGUCCCCAAAUGUUUGGUACAAGGAAAAGUUGGUAGCCAUGUCUCAAAAUAUUCUAAGAGAGAAAGAUCAUGCAAUAAAAGGAGUAUAGUUUAGUGAUAUGAUCCAUUCCACACACUUGCACAUCUCAGUCUAGCAUAUGCCUUUGAUCUUAACUUAGUUUGUUUUUUGAUUUAUCCCCAUACAAGAAGCAAGUAUGCCCGG
rnacentral:lncRNA from 1 species